CCACUCUCUCCUCCCCUCACGUCAGAUCCAUCUCUCGCGCCCGCAACCCUCACCCGUGGUGGACCUCGUUGCCAGAUCGCUGGAUCCGAUGGACGUCACCUCCAACACGACCACGACCACGAGCGGCGGCGGCGGAGGGAAGGACAGGGACAAGGGCAAGGGCGCCUCGGUCUCCUUCACGGAGGGCGAGAAGGUGCUCGCCUACCACGGCCCCUCCUCUACGAGGCCAAGGUUC
rnacentral:lncRNA from 1 species